UCCACCUUGAUUCUUGUUUACUCUGUUCACAAUCACAGUGCAGUGCACAGUAUUAUUUAUCAUAGGCACAAAUGCAGGGAAUGACAUCAGUAACAAAGUAGGCCUAAGCUUGAUUCUUGGUUAAGUUGAAUGGUUGAAUCUACAGUUGAUGUUGCUGACUGGAGCUCAGGAGCACUGUCCAUUGAGAAAUCUUCGCCUGACUGCUACAAGUAGGGACCUGCAGAGUGAAAGACUCUUAUUACUGUACAUUACUGCUCUGUUUAUUUAUUGUCUCAGAGCUAGUUUAUUGUAUUAUUACCAUCUUUCCUUGUUUGUUAUUUUUGGCAUUAUUUUAUUUUUCAUUGCGUA